UAUUGCACAAUGGGGGAAACCCUGAUGCAGCGACGCCGCGUGAGUGAAGAAGUAUUUCGGUAUGUAAAGCUCUAUCAGCAGGGAAGAAAACAAUGACAGUACCUGACUAAGAAGCCCCGGCUAACUACUUUCCAGCAGCCGCGGUAAUACGUAGGGGGCAAGCGUCAUCCGGAUUUACUGGGUGUAAAGGGGGCGUAGACGGUAAUGCAAGUCUGGAGUGAAAUGCAGGGGCUCAACCCCUGAACUGCUUUGGAAACUGUAUGACUGGAGUGCAGGAGAGGUAAGUGGAAUUCCUAGUGUAGCGGUGAAAUGCGUAGAUAUUAGGAGGAACACCAGUGGCGAAGGCGGCUUACUGGACUGUAACUGACGUUGAGGCUCGAAAGCGUGGGGAGCAAAC
rnacentral:rRNA from 1 species